rnacentral:rRNA from 1 species
UGCCAGCAGCCGCGGUAAUACGGAGGGGGCUAGCGUUGUUCGGAAUUACUGGGCGUAAAGCGCGCGUAGGCGGUUCUGCAAGUCGGAUGUGAAAGCCCGGGGCUCAACCCCGGACGUGCAUUUGAAACAGCAAGACUUGAAUACGGUAGAGGAGAGAGGAAUUCCUGGUGUAGAGGUGAAAUUCGUAGAUAUCAGGAGGAACACCGAUGGCGAAGGCAUCUCUCUGGACCGAUAUUGACGCUGAGGCGCGAAGGCGUUGCUAGCGAACGGGAUUAGAUA